AGUGAACGCUGGCGGCGUGCUAAACACAUGCAAGUCGAACGAGAACGGAUUAUAGCUUGCUAUAAUUGUCAGCUAAGUGGCGCACGGGUGAGUAAUGUAUAGGUAAUAUGCCUCUUACUAAGGGAUAACAAAUGGAAACGUUUGCUAAUACCUUAUACUCCUUAUUAACCUAAGUUAAUAAGGGAAAGAUUUAUUGGUAAGAGAUUAGCCUGUAUUGUAUCAGUUAGUUGGUGGGGUAAUGGCUUACCAAGACUAUGACACAUAACUGGUUUGAGAGGAUGAUCAGUCACACUGGAACUGAGACACGGUCCAGACUCCUACGGGAGGCAGCAGUGGGGAAUAUUGCACAAUGGACGAAAGUCUGAUGCAGCAACGCCGCGUGGAGGAUGACACAUUUCGGUGCGUAAACUCCUUUUAUAUGAGAAGAUAAUGACGGUAUUAUAUGAAUAAGCACCGGCUAACUCCGUGCCAGCAGCCGCCGCAG
rnacentral:rRNA from 1 species